UACGUAGGGACCAAGCGUUGUUCGGAUUUACUGGGCGUAAAGGGCGCGUAGGCGGCGUGGUAAGUCACUUGUGAAAUCUCUGAGCUUAACUCAGAACGGUCAGGUGAUACUGUUUUGCUAGAGUGCGGAAGGGGCAAUCGGAAUUCUCGGUGUAGCGGUGAAAUGCGUAGAUAUCGAGAGGAACACCGGUGGCGAAGGCGGCCAACUGGACGAACACUGACGCUGAGACACGAAAGCGUGGGGAGCAAACAGG
rnacentral:rRNA from 1 species